GUCAUGGCCCUAAGCAAUUUGUAUAAAGAGGAGAUCCUAUCUCAGAACCAGGGGAAGAGAUUCAGAGCAUCUGAAUGUCAGGGUUUGAGAGGUUGGAGAAAGCGUGGCAUUUUCUUUACAUCUUUGAGAGGCAAAGAGAGGUCUGUGUGGUAAUAGAAAAGGGAAAUACUGAGGGGAGUUUUUGGUUUGGCAGACUUAUCAGAAGGGAGGAUCCAAGUUAAGAAAAAUCCCAAGAAAAAGUCAGGUCUUUCUCCAACUUCUCCUUCCAAAGCCUGUCUAUAAACAGACAACAACAUAAUGUAAUCUUGUGGUUUCAUUACCCAAAUGUUUCCAUUGCAUGGAAUUUUGCCUCAGACACAGAGACCAGGAGUUAGGAUAGAUAUAAAUGCAAUGUUAGGAAGCUCAACCUUUGCUUUUUUGUUAUUCAGUCAUUUUUCGGUUGUGUCAACUCUUCAUGACCCCGUUUGGGGUUUUCUUGGCAAAGAUACUGGAGUGGUUUGACAUUUCCUUCUCCAGUUCAUUUUACAGUUGAGAAAACUGAGGCCAAUAGGGUUGAAUGACUUGCCCAGGUUCACACAGCUAAGAAUCUGAGGCUGGAUUUAAACUCAUGAAAAUUAGUUUUCCUGAUUUCCAAGUCCAGUGCUCUACCUAGCCACUAUAAUCUUGAUAUAGGUUUUAGGAAUUUUUCUAAUUGGGGACUUGGAAUGAAUAAAACUUAAUUUAAAACUUUUCAUCUAAAAUAAACUUCCUAAAACCAAAGAGGAGGAAACCAAGAGUACUUUAGGGGCCACUCUAUUAAAAUGAGCUGAUUAUUGUGACAGAUUCCUAAAAAUAUGUUAUCCUAACUGUUUCAUGGGGGUGAGUUUCUUCCCUCCGUCCAGACUGAGAAUAUUGAGGGCAGAAACAUCCGGACAGGAGAAUAGAAAAUAGGGACAACAGGACAGUCCCCCCGCCCCCCCCCAAGCUAAAAGGGACCAUAGACAGACAGGAGGCUCAGUGGAUAGCUGGGUCUGGAGUUAAGUAGGCCUGAAUUCAAAUCUGGCUUCAAGUACUUCUUAGCUAUAUGACCCUGGGCAAGUCAUUUAACCUCUGAUUUCCUGACUAAAGGACCCAUUGGAAAAGGAAAUGUCAAGCCACUCCAAUGUACCUGUCAAGAAAAUCCAUCCCCAUGGAUAGUUAUGGUCCAAGGGGUCAUGAAGAGUUGGACAUGACUCAACUGAACAACAAACAGUAUCAUACAUUUAUAACUGGAAGAAACCUCAGAGGUUACUAGAAACUCAGAGGUUUCCUAAUUUUUUCAGAUGUGGAAGUUUCCCAGUGUAACUUUCUCAGGGUCACAUAGCUAGUAAGUGUCUAAUGUAGAAUUUGACCCCAGGUUUUCCUGAGCUUAAUCCCAGAGCUCCCUCUAUUCACCGCUACCUCUAUAAUCAUUUAGUUCAGCUUCUUCCUUCGAGAGGGGCCAACUGGGGACCCAGAGAGGGCAAAGUUUGACUUGUCCAAGAUCACAUAACAAGUUAGGGACACAGUCUGAAUUUGAAACCUGGAUUUCCUCCUUCCCAUGCUCUUCCCUAAUUCACCACCCUCUGAAAUCAUUCCCCAUGAAAGGUCUACCUUCCACUGGCUCCAUAGCCAUUCCCAAGAAAACUCCACAAACAAUCAGUUGGAUCAAGUGUGAACACUGUAGCCUGAGGAAGAAUUGGAUUGACUAUUGUUAGGAAAUUGGUAUCCCUAAAGCACAGGCAAUAAGUAUAUGUUGGCUGACUAUUUCAUGAAAAAGACAUAUCAUAGCUCUGGGUUCUGGGUAUUUUCUCUGGUCCUCUCCCAUGCCUAGAACUCUUUCCCUCCUCUGCUCUGACUACCAACUUCCUUGGUUACCUUUAAGUUCCAACUAAAAUCCCACAUUCUACAGAAGUCUUCCCUAACCCUUUUUUAUUCUAGUGCUUCCCCUCUGUUAAUUAUCUCCCAUUUAUCUUUUAUAUAGCUUGCUGUGUGUAUUUUUGCUCAUAUACAGAGAGUAUCAUCUCCAUUUCAUUGUAAACUCCUUGAAGGCAAGGACUAUCUUUUGCCUUUUUUUGUAACCCCAGUCCUUAGCACAGUGCAUGGCACAUAAUGAAGGCACUGACCACUGAUAGCCUUCCUCAAGGAUUUAGGCUACCAGAGCAUCAAGGGCUAAGUGGAAGCAUGAGUGGGAAGAGUCAGAUUUACAGUCAGAGGUUCUUUAGAGGUAUGAUUCUAUAGCCUAAAAUUUCAGGAGUGAAAGAAAAGAUGGGAAACUCUCCAGAAGGAAAUUCCAAAGAUACAAAGAGAAACAGUUCUAGUUAGAAGAAAAAGGAAUUAUCUAGAGAAAACAAUGUGGAUAUGCAGGGAAUUCACCCACUGAUGCCAAUUUUAAAAAGACAAAUACAGAAAGUGAGUCCUCCAUGGUAGAUAACAGAGGAUGAAUAUAAAUGUGUGUGGCAUGGUCCUGGAAGAAUAGUGUCACAAAUGCUCCAGCUCAAAAUGAGCUGAGGCUGGCAAAGGAAAGAGGAGUAUCAAAGAAGACUGAACCCUGUUCAGUCAGUCAACAAGCAUUUAAAUAUUAAGGACCUACUGUGUGCCAGGCACUAUGCUAAGUUCAGAGGAUUCAAAGAACAUAAAAACCACAUUUCCUGCCAUCAAAGAAAAGAGAGAUAACAUGCAAACAAUUAUGUGUAUAUAUAUAUAAGCUACAGAUAGCAUAAAUGGACCAAGAGGGAGAAUUCCAGAUAUGGGGUGGAGUCAGUAAAAACAUUCAAAGUCAAGAAAUGGAGUGUCUUGAAUGAUCAAUGACAGAGGCUAUCAUCAUUGGAUUGAAGAGUACAUGAAUGGGGCAGCUAGGUGACUCAGUGGAUAGAACAUCAGGGAUGGAGUCAGGAUUCUAUUAGUAUAUAUAGAAUAUAUAGACUAUGGUCUAGGUUCAAUUCUGGCCUCAGAUACUUCCUAGCUGUAUGACCCUAGGCAAAUCACUGAACUCCAAAUACUUAGCUCUUACUGCUCUUCUGUCUUUGAACUGGUACUAAGAUAGAAGGUAAGAGUUUAAAAAAAACUCUUAAAAAAAGAGCAUGCUGAGGGGAAUAUGGGGUAAGAAUACUGGAAAAGGCAGAAGGCUCCAUAUGAAGGGCUUUAACUGUCAAACAGAGUUGAUCUGGGAAGUUUGGGGAACUAAUAGAAUUUAUGAAUAGAACAAUUUGGUCACACCUGUGCUUUAGCAAAAUAAUUUUAGCCACUGAGUGGAUGAACUGAAGUGGGGAGAGACAAAGCAAGGAGGCCAAUUAGAGGCUAUUUCAAUAGUCCUGAUAUAAAGUGACUGAAAGCCUUCGCCAGAAUGGCUGCUGUGUGUGUAGCAAGAAGGGGAUGUAUUAAAGAUGUGGUAAAGGUAGAAACGACAAAUCUUGGGAGCAAAGACUGCAUAAGGUGGGAAGCUUCAAGCUAGAGGCAGGUGAGGUAUGAUGGGAUAAGGGGAAAGGGGCCAGAGUUUCUGUCUCUCCCAGAUAGGGAAGAAAAAUCAUGGGGAUCCCUUCAUCUCCUCCAAAGUGAAUAGAUGCAAAAAAAAAAUUCCUAUCCACUUCCUAUAACAUCCCUGGUCUCACAUAUUGCAAGAGUUUCAGAGAUAAUUUAUCCCAACCCCAAGAACCUUAGUAGGAAUCCUCUCUGUGGUAACUGCCUAUUGGGAAACUCAGUACCUUGCUAAAGAUUCUUUAUUUCUGCCUCCACUCUUUCCAACCUUCAUAUGAUAAACAAACAUCUUUCUUAGUAGCUCGAUCUAUCUGAACAUUACCUAUUCAUGUCCCUUGCCCAUUUAUCAAUUGGAGAAUGACUUGAUUUUUUGUAUAAUUGAUUUAUCACUUUAUAAACUUGAGUGAUUAGACCUUUGUCAGAGGUUUUUGUUAUAAAGAUUUUUUCCCAGUUUGUUGCUUCCCUUCUAAUUUUGGUUGUAUUUUGGUUUUGUUUGUACAAAGACUUUUUAAUUUAAUGUAAUCAAAAUUAUUUAUUUUACAUUUUUGUAUUUUUUCUAGCUCUUGGCUUGGUCUUAAAAUCUUUCAUUUCCCAAAGAUCGAACAGGUAUACUAUUCUGACACUCUUAUACUGUAUCUGUAAGCUUUCACAGUGCCCUAUUCCUGAAAUGUCCUACCUCUCUAUCUUUGCUUGUUGGACUUUUGUUGUUUAGUUGUAUCCCACUCUAUGUGAUCCCAUGGAGUUUUCUUGGCAAAGAUACUGGAGUAGUUUGCCCUUUCCUUCUCUUUUUCCAGUGUGUCCUUAUUUUAUGGGUGAAGAACUGAGGCAAAUAGGGGGUAAGUGACUUGCCCAUUUGAACUCAGAUCUUCCUGACUCCAGGCUUGGUGCUCUAUCAACUUCAUAACCUAGCUGUCCUUUGUUGGAUUUAAGCCACUUUAAAUGUCUACUCCUCCAGGAAGUGCCUCCAACAGAAACGAAUCUCACAUAGCUUUUGGUUUGUAAAUCUCAAAUGUAAACAAAAUGCCAUAAUGUACAGUCUAGACUGUGAUCUCCAUUAGGGCAGAAACUAGGGCUUAUAUAACCUUUGUGUCUCCCUUAGUGUCCAGGACAGUGGAUCAUAUAGGAUUAUAGAUUUAAAACUGGAAGGGACCAUAGAGGCCAUUUAACCUUAAUUUUACAGACAAGGAAACUGAGGCCCAGAGAAGUUAAUCAACUUGUCUAAGGUUACAGAGAAACAUUAUAAGUAGCAGAACUAGAAUUUGAAACCAUCUUCUUCUGAUUCCAAAUCCAGGGUUUCCCCUACUUAUGCCACACUGCCAAAGCUCUUCAGAGUAGAAGUUUAAUAAAUGCAGCUAGCUUGAAAAGAAUACCCUAUUUACUGUUUAUUUUACUAUUUAAUGUAGCCCUAUUUAUUUUCUCUCUGCUUGUCUCAAAUCCUCCUCAGCUUCUAAGUCUAGAUCCUGCCUUUCUUUCUCUCCUGGAAGCCUUCCCAUAUCAAUCCACAUUGAUAUCUCUCUUCUCAAAGCCCCUGUCAAAACUUGGUAUUUUAGAGUUGACUCUGGAAAUGUCAAAUCUCUCCCUCUUCCCUCCCUCCAGGAUAAGAAUUUUCUCUCUGGAUUUCCUGAUUAUAGAUGUCUCGGAAGUUGGAUCAUCCAGGACCCCACUUCCUUGAAAACCUCCAGUAAUGGGGACUCUGUACCGUAGGCGGCCUCUGCAUCCACUGCUGGACAGCUCUGAUUGUUAGUUCUUCCUCUAUUUGAAUCAAUGUCUGCCAUUCCCACGAGAUUUCCCUAUUCACUGCUCAGCAUUGCUCACUGCUCACUUCCCUUACUAGCCUUUAUUUUCUAAUGCUGGAGGCAUCUGCUGCUCAGGAAAGAGAAAAGGUUCCCUGUACUAGAAUCGACAGCCUCGGAGACGAGAGAUUUCCCCUAGAAUGAUGAAUCCUUCUAAAAGGCCCAGUUGAUGGAACGACCUCCAGGAAGUGAUUCAGAGAGAGGAGCAGAACCAGGAGAACAUUGUACACAGAGACUAAUACACUGUGGCACAAUUGAAUGUAAUGGACUUCUCCAUUAGUGGCAAUGCAGUGAUCCUGAACAACCCAGAGGGAUGUAUGAGAAACAACACUAUCCACAUUCAGAAGAAACAUUGUGGGAGCAGAAACACCGAAGACAAACAACUGCUUGAAUACAUGGGUCGAGGGGAUAUGAUUGGGGAUGUAGACUCUAAAUGAUCACCCUAGUGCAAUUAUUAUCAAUAAUAUGGAAAUAGAUCUUGAUCAAUGACACAUGUAAAACCCAGUGGAAUUGCUUAUUGGCUAUGGGAGGGGGAUUGGAGGAGAGGAGGGAAAGAACAUGAAUGAUGUAACCAUGGUAAAAUAUUCUAAAUGAAUAAAAUAAAAUAAUAAAAGG